rnacentral:rRNA from 1 species
GACGAACCGUGCGAACGUUGUUCGGAAUCACUGGGCUUAAAGGGCGCGUAGGCGGGUCGGCCAGUCUGUGGUGAAAUCCCCCGGCUCAACCGGGGAAUUGCCGCGGAUACUGCCGGUCUCGAGGAGGGUAGGGGCAUCUGGAACGAGCGGUGGAGCGGUGAAAUGCGUUGAUAUCGCUCGGAACUCCGGUGGCGAAGGCGAGAUGCUGGACCCUUUCUGACGCUGAGGCGCGAAAGCCAGGGGAGCAAACGGG